AACGAACGCUGGCGGCGUGGAUUAGGCAUGCAAGUCGAACGAUUUAUUCUGGUGUAGCAAUACAUCAGGAUGAGAAGUGGCGAAAGGGUGCGUAACACAUGAGCAAUCUACCCUUGUGUUGGGGAUAACCCCGUGAAAACGGGACUAAGACCAGAUGACACAUUUAGAAGGCAUCUUUUAAUGUUAAAGGCGGGGACCGAAAGGCCUGACGCAUAAGGAUGAGCUCGUGGCCUAUCAGCUUGUUGGUAGGGUAAUGGCCUACCAAGGCUAAGACGGGUAGCUGGUCUGAGAGGAUGGUCAGCCACACUGGGACUGAGACACUGCCCAGACUCCUACGGGAGGCUGCAGUCGAGAAUCUUUCGCAAUGGGGGAAACCCUGACGAUGCGACGCCGCGUGCAGGGAAUGAAGGCUUUCGAGUCGUAAACUGCUGUCGAACGGGAAGAAAAAUCAGCCUAUGAACAAUGGACUGGUUUGACGGUACUGUUGGAGGAAGCCCCGGCUAACUACGUGCCAGCCGCCGC
rnacentral:rRNA from 1 species